UUUUUUUUUUUUUGUUGCAAUUUCUUUUCUUUGCUGAUUUUGAUUAAAAAAACAGCAUGCUUUUUCCUCGGUUUGGGAAACAUGUCAUCUAACUUUCACGCCAAGUUUAAGGUCGAUUUCUCUUCUAAACAAUUCUGUAAAAAUAUGGGAAACGUAGCUUUAUCUUUUAUCUUUUCAGGCAUAUAUCGUACACCACUAGGAAAAAUCGGGAAAGCCUUCAACUCGUCAUUUUCCCACAGCUGUGCAGUUGUGACAAGAAAACAACUCCUUCGAGAUUAACUUUGAAAAAUGGAACGUUUGGCUUUAGGGAAAAUAAUGAAAUUUGGACACAAGGAUCAUCAGCCUCUUAGCUUUCUUCUCCAAUUGGCUUUGUAUCAAAACUUCUCUGGAAAAUCAAAUUAUCACCAAAAACGUCCUGCUUGCGCAGAUUGGCUUAAACUUGCCAUUUUUUUCUUGGAAUUUGCUUCCUUCUUUUGAUUUUCCUUUUACUAUUUGGUAUGUACUCUCCCUUAUAGCAUUAAGAAGCAAUCGACCCCUAUUUAUACGACAAUUGGGUGUGUAUUUUUUUCAGAAUUCAUUGCCGUGCAUUGUCUUUGUUGUUGUGUCGUGUAUGUUACUGUUGUUGCUGCCGUGGGCUGCUUGCUUGGAGCUUGUUGCAAUGCGUCACUUUUUACCUUGUGGUGCUGUGCAAAAAACUACAGCGAGGUUGCGCUGUGUGGUGCCAUUUAGUCAUAGUUUUCCCUCGGUGGUGACAUUGCCUUGCAGUGCAAGAAACUGCUUGCAUAAUCGCUACAGGGUUGCGUAGCAUUUUGAUUUUCUUUGCUACUAUUGUGUGCUUUGAAGGACCGUCUUAUAGCUACCCUAUUUUCCAUGCUACUCAAGCUUUGUGGCUGAUUUCUUUUCAUUGUUGUGACUUUGUCAUCAUCAUUCUUCAACACUCACGAUGUUUGUCUCACAUGUCUUUUGCUUUAGUGAAGCAAUCUUUUUUGUUCUUCUUCUUGCUACCCCACUCUUAUGCUUAUGUUGCUUUGUUUAUUUUGUUGCAGUGAUGAUAUUUUUCAAGUGCUUUAAGAGCAAUACCAUCACCAUUCUUGCGAAGGAAUGCGAUUUGCAAGAUAAGGGAACGAUGUUGAAGCUUUGUGUGCCGUUGACUGACCCUAAGACACUUGUUCUUCCUGCGAAAGACAUCUUGAUGCAUAUCAAGUCGUCGUCUUCUGAAGUAUCUUGGGAGGUGACAAAUUUUGGUCGACCAAAUAUGAAGAAGAAGGCAUGUACAUAGAGGAUUCUUAUCUUGAAUCCUUCGCACCAUGUUCGUGACAAUUUGCCGGCUUCAUUUGAGCUUCUUGGUGAUCACUUCCGUAACGAAGCUAUGACUUGGAAUAGCACAUUGUCGACUACUGAGAAGCCGUCUUUGUUUUUUGCUCAUUUUGUAAUACGACUUUGUAGCCAAAUUCUUCCUUUAAAGAAAUAAAGUAUUCACAUUCUUGAAUUUGCUCUUUAUGCUUCAAAGUGUUUGUGUAUUGGUUGAUGAUGUGAGUAUACUUGAAGUUUUGAAGUUUCAAGUUGCCUACGUACCCUCGGUUAAAGAGGGAUCAAGUCAUGACGUAGUUCAAAGGAAUGAUGAAUUGUUUUUUGAUGGUUUUAACGAUUUUGAUGGUGAUUUUGCCAUACACAGUUUAUGCUCUUGCGGGCCAAGAACGUUGAGUGUCACCUUUUAAACUCGUACGAACAAGGAGCAUUGGGUGUCGCCUUUUAAACUCAUGCAAACAAAGAGCAUUGUUGCUGUGUGUAGUUUAGGCUCAUGUUGGUGAAGAGUUUUGUGCCGUGUGCAGUUUAAGCCCAUGCAGGCAAGGAGCAUUGGGUGUUGCCUUUUAAGCUCGUCCGAACAAUGAGCAUUGUUGCCGUGUGCAGUUUAGGCUCGUGCAGGCGAUGAGCAUUGUGUCGUGCACAGUUUAGGCUUGUGUAGGCGAGGAGCAUUGCUUGUUUGGUUUAGGGGUAGUAAUGCUUCAAGAAUAUGCCAUUGAUGGGGCCGAUCUUUAAGCUGUCUUUUACCAUGAUUAAGUGGGCACCGUUGUUGUCGACCUCUUGUAUUACGCAAGGUCCAUCCUACUUUGAUGUGAACUUGCUUUUUGUUUUGUGAGUUGUGAUGAUUGGCCUUCAUAAUGCCAAGAAAAGAUCUCUAGUUUGGAAGCAUUCCAAGUGUUGGUGAGCUUCAAGCCUUUUUUCGUUGAGUGCUUCAAGCCUUGGGCGGACAUUCUUGUUGAAUGCCUUGGAUAGCCGUGCUUGGUAGCAUUCCAAGUGUUGUUGAGCUUCAAGCUUUUUUUCGUUGAGUGCUUCCAACUUUUGAAGUCGUAGCUUUGCAUUUUCCUCUUUAGUCAAGCCUUAUUGUAUAGCCAUCCUUAGUGAAGAGAUUUGACUUUCGAGCGGCAGAACAGCUUCCACGCCAUAUACCAGAGAAUAAGGUGUAGCUUGAGUAUGAGUCAUAUAUGUAGUCAUAUAUGCCCAAAGUGCUUUGCUUAUUCUUUCAUGUCAGUCUCCCUUUGUUCAGCCGAUCACUUUUUUCAGGAGGUUGCAUAACAUUUUGUUGAAUGCUUCCGCAAGACCGUUGGCUGAAGCAUGAUACAUGGAAGACUUAUGCUGUUUAAACUUAUAUUUCUCGCAGAGCUCAUCCAUAAGUUGGUUGGAGACCUGUUUUCUGUUGUUAGUGAUGAUGUAGCGAGGCACACCAUAUUGGUGGAUGAUAUGUUCUUUGACGAAACAGACGACAAUUUCCUUCUUGACUUCCCUUAGGGGUACGGCUUCAACCUACUUGGAGAAGUAAUCUAUUCCGGCUAUGAUGUAGACUUCUCCAACAGAUGAUUUUGAUAUGAUUGGUCCCACGACGUCCAAUCCUCAUGCAUCAAAUGGCCAUGAAGCAACUGUAGGGUGUAAUGGCUCAAGCGGUUUAUGUAUGAAGUUGGCAUGGAAUUGGCAGGCUUAGCACCUUUUGGUGUAUUCUAGGCAAUCUUUCACCAUGCUUGGCCAGUAGUAGCCCAUUCUUUUGAGCAGGAAGUAUAGCUUUGGUCCAGACUAAUGCACUCCUCAAACGCCCGAGUGUGCUUCUUCCAUGGCUUAAUUAGCUUCUUCCUCACCUAGGCAUCUUAGAAGUACUCCUUCAAAAUAGCGUCGGUAAAGUGUUUCUUUGUAGUAUAGGAAGUGAGGUGGUCGUCAACGUAUUUCAGAGCAAUGUCUAGGAUUGUCCCGGAAGCUUUCCAUGCUCCAAGUAGUCGAUCAACAGUUGCCUCUACUCUUCAGUGUCGAUUGGAAGUACUGAGAUGACAUUUAUGUCAUCUAGUAGCAUUUUAGUGACGAGUGGGAUCACCCAUCUUUGGCAAACUGGCAUGUCUACAGUUUCAUCUUCUCCUAGCGCCAUACUUAAGGCAAAGUUAGCGAGAGCGUCCGCCAUUUGAUUUUCUUUUCUUGGCACAUGUUCUAGAGUCACGACCUCAAAAUUUUGUAGCAGUUGAGUUGCUAGCCAGAAAUAUGGGACGAGAUCAUCUUUCCUCACUUUAUGUUCAGUCAAGAGUUGAUUGAUUAUGAGUUUGGAGUCGCCAUACAAUUCUAGCGUUAUGAUUUCCAUGUCGAUCACCAUUUAGAGUCUAAUAAUCAGUGCUUAGUACUCAACGACAUUAUUGGAGCAUAGCUCGCUUAGUCGGAAGGUGUAGGGUAAUACUUGUCUUUGUGGCAACAUGAACACUACUCCUGCCCUCACCUUGUCUGCUCGUGUAAAUCCAUUGAAGAACAUUGUCCAUAUCGGGUAGAUGUCGACGUAGAACACCUCCUCGUUAGGCAAGUCAUCUGAGAUUUUCCAAUCUGCUAGGAUUAGAUGAUCAACAAGGAAAUCUGCUAACGCUUGUCACUUGACGACUUUAGCUGGGACUUAAAUGAUCUCAUACUGAUUGAGAAGCAAUGCCCAUUUAGCUAGUCACAUUGUCAAAACUAGUUUGGACAUAACGUAUUUGACCGGGUCAACUUUAGCAACCAAGUGGAUGGUGUAAGCAUGCAUGUAGUGUCUUAGCUUUUGGAGGGCAAAGACUAAGGCAAGGAACAUAUUCUCGAUCGGUGAGUAGUUAAGCUCAGCACCAGUGAGAGUUCUACUUAAGUAGUAGAGUGCUCUUUCCUUUUAGUCUUCAUUUUCUUGCGCCAAGAGUGCUCUAAUGGAACCCUCAUGUGCAGCAAUGUAUAGAAUAAGCGGCUUUCUAGGCACUGGUGCUCAUAAGACAUGUGGGCUUGCCAGGUACCAUUUUAUGCCCUCGAAGGCAUUGCGACAGGCGUCAUCUCAUAUGAAUGGAGCAUUCUUCUUCAUGAGUCGACUGAAAGGUUGACAGCAUCCAGCGAGGUUGAAGAUAAAGCUUCUGAUUAAGGCUAGCCGCCCUUGUAGACUUUUCAACUCAUGUAAGUUCCUUGGUUCAGGCACACUUUGAAUGGCCUUGAUUUUUUAUUGGUCCACUUCAAUGCCACGGUGCUUGACAAUGAAGCCGAGGAAUUUCCCAGAAGUGACGCCAAAUGCACACUUAAAUGGGUUCAUUUUGAGGUUAUAGUGUCGUAGUUUGUCAAACACCAUUCGUAAAUCCUUCAAGUGAUCAGAUCUCUUCUUGGUCUUAACAACUACAUCGUCUACGUAACAUUCUACGUUUUUGUGUAGCAUGUCAUUGAAGAUCUUUUGCAUUGCACGUUGAUAUAUAACCCCAGCGUUCUUCAAGCCAAAGAGCAUUACCUUGUAGCAGUAUAUACCUUUUGGAAUGCGGAAGGCUAUUAGUUCCUUGUCUUCGAGAGCCAUGCGGAUUUGACUGUACCCAGAUAAGUCAUCCAUGAAUGAUAGUGCAUCAUAGCCAGUGGUCGUGUCACCAUGAUUUUGAUUAUUGGCAAGGGAAAGUCAUCAUUUGGGCAAGCAUCAUUGAGGUCGCGGAAAUCUAAGCAAAGACGUAUUUGUCCAAAUUUCUUAAGGACAAUGAUGAUGUUGGAAAUCCAUUUAAGGUAUUGCACAUUUCGAAUGAAGCCUGCUUCGAUUAGCUUGUCAAUCUCGGCCUCAAUUUGUAGGAUGAGCUUAGAUCGAUAGCGUCUUUGAGUUUGCUUUACAGGCUAUGAUCCGGGUUUAACUGUAAGAUGAUGCAUGACAAUGGUAAGGUCAAAGCCGGGCAUUUCUUUGUAGGUCCAAGCGAAGACGUCUUUGUACUCCAAUAAUAGUUGGUAGUACUCAUCGACCUCAUCCACACUUAGUAGUACACUUACUAAGAUAGGCUUUGGUUUCUUACUUGUGCCUAAGUUGAGCUCCUUGAGAUCAUCAACCGUGGCUUGCCCCCCAUCCUCGAGCUGUUAUGGCGCAGCAGUGGCGUCUUCCUCAAGGAUUUCAUUUUCUUUGUCUUCUUAGAUUGUGAUGUGGAAGACUUUUUGGACCUCAUCUUCAGUGUCAUCCUCUUGGGCUUGUUGGCGUGAAGAUUGGCCAAUGUGGAUGAUGGUGUGCCCCUUUAUCUUCAGUUGUCCUUUUGUGUCAACCUUCAAGGUUGCUUGGUGUUUCAUCCUUAAAGGAUUCGAGCUUCGAACGUCAUCUUUUUUUAUUAGACCGUUAAGCUGUUCUUCUUUUGGCAUUGUUUUCCUAUUUUUAGAAGACUUUUUGUUUCUUCAAGUUUUUCCAAGGCCAACUAUCGCAAAUGAUAACUAGCCGUGUUGCUUUGUUUCUUAGGUUUUGACAACCUUUUGAAACAGAAUUUUGGGGUGUUAGCGUGUUAAGCCGCUUAAAGACGAAAGUUCGGUCUUGACCACUAUUGUGAUCAAGUGUCGAAAUUCUGGGUUUUGAGCGAUUCAGCCUAUCAAAGACUGAUGUUCGAGGGGCAGGUUUAGGCUCCUCUUGAAUUUGUUCAACGCUCACGUUGAUGUGUUGAGCGCUAGAGUUUUUCACUUUUCUUGAAAUCUUCACGGAGUAUUUGGUGUAAAGCCAAUUCCAGCUUUAUUGUUGUCAACUUCGUAACCAUGCUCCUUUAACUUCUUUUGAGUCUCGGUGAGGUCAUGUUCUUUUUUGUUAACGGUGUUUGAAACCUUCUUUCCAAGAUUUAAAGAAGAGGCGAAAUUAUACCCAGCCUUUGACAUGAGUUUGUAGGCGUUUGGGUCGAAACCUUCUUCAGUCCUCUUGGUUGGAAGAGAGCUUGUUUCCGCCACCUUUGGCAGGGGUUUUACUAAACCUUGUGGUGGUUUUGAAACUUUAGCGUUGCCUAGCUGUGUCAGAGAUAAAACUGCAUUUAUCGUGAACAAUUUUACAUCGUCCUUGUGCAGCUAUGUGUCGGCUUUGCUUGUUCCAAUUUCGAACGGGGAUUGCCCAUUCUUUCUUCUCGACAUUGGGAUGUAUCGGAAGACGUAUGUGUUUGGUCCUUUUGAGGUCGUCACACUCCCUCUAAUUAUUAUGGGCUUAGCAGGCUCAUCGUCGUUUUUGCUUGAAGAUGGCAUGGCUUCCCUUUCUUGUUUCUUGGGCACGGCUUACCACUUUUGUUUCUUAGGUGCAGUUUUGCAUAUGGAUUUGAUUUCUUUUAGAAAAGCUUCGGGCACCAUGUCUUCAUCCUGUAGAACUUGGCAUCCGCGAAGUGUGAUUCAGCUUUGGUGAAUGGCUUGGUGUCGCCUUGUAUCACUUUUACUCAUUCUCGGUAGAACUUUAAGCAUUGAUGAAGGAUGGACGGCACUACUUCAUUCUCGUGGAUCCAAGGCCUUCUUAAGAGCAAGUUGUAGGAAGUUCUUGCAUCAAUCACGUGGAAUAACAUGCUUGACUUGAGUUCGCCAAUGGUCAUCUUGACUUGGAUCAUGCCCAUUGCUCUUUGUCCUCUUUGGUUUAAACCUUGAAUUAGGAGGUACUUUCGGGAUAGUUCAUCCACCUUGAUGCCAAUUGUGGUCAUUGUUGACUUUGGCAUGAUGUUUAUGACCAACCCAUCAUCCAAAAGCAUGCGGUUGAUUUUGUUCUCUCUCACGUACCCAGAGACGAAGAGAUGAUGGUUUUGAGGCUUUGACCUAGACCUGGCAAUCAUGUCGUGUUUUUCAUGUUCAUGUUGUUUUCGUAUCAUACCAGACAUCUUAACGGGUCGUGUCAUGUAACACCCGUUAAGAUAAAUAGGUAAAAUGACCCGACCCGAAAUUGACCCGAUAAUAAUAACAGGUAAUAUGACCCGACCCGUUACCCAUUAAGGAAAAUAUAUUUUAAACCAAUAAAUAAUCAAAUGAAAAACAUAAUACUAAAUAAGUAUAUACAUACCAUAUUGUCACAUCCAAAAUAUAAAAACGCAUUUUUCUUUAAGUAUAUUUUCACUUACCUAAAUUGAUCAAAUGGUAUAAUUGGAAAAUAUUGGAAUAGGGAAGGGGUUUUUUCAUCCAAAAAAGUUCUAAUAAUAUAAGUGAAACAAAAUCCAACGAUACAGAUUUACUCUCAUUUAUCUUACGACUAUUGUUUAAGUAAAGUCUUUAAUAGUUUUUUAAUUAAUGUAGAAGUGUAAAAAAUAUAGAAAAACUAUAUAAAUGCUCGUAAUGACAAGCUUUACAACUUUCAUGAAGAGCUUAACUUCGAAAUUCACCACUAUAAUCAUAUAAAUCAUAGAUAAAAAUUUAACCAUUGAUUGUUGUUUACAUUUACGCUUCAUUGUUCUCAUCAAAUUUUGUUUUUUUUCAGAUUUUCUUUUUUGAAAACAUGAUCUAUUAGAGGAUGCAGGAAGAUGAACGGUUUGGAUCAUUGAUAUUAUAUUCAGAGUUUUACGGUUAGUGAAAAUAUUGCUUGAUGUUUAUAACAUUUUUACAAACUAUAUGACAUCGACUCAUAUUUCAGUUAACCGUAAAUAUCGAAAUGUGAAAUCAAAUAUCUAAACCGUUCAUCUUCUUACAUCCACCAGAUGAUCAUGUUUUCAAAAAAGAAAAUUUUAAAAAUGAAAUUCAGUAAGAAGAAUAAAGCAUAAAUAACAAUCGACGGUUAAAUAUAAAUUUAAGGUUUAUGGAUUAUAGUGUUGGAUUUCGAAGCUGACCCUUUCAUGAAAAUUGUAAAGCUUGUCACUAUGAGUGAUUGUAUAUGUUUUUUUUACAUUUUUUACACUUCUACAAUAAUUAUUAUUAAUUUUAUUAAUGUUUCCCUUAUAUAAAAAACAUUAUUCAUGAGGAUUUGGAGGAUUUUAAAAAUCUAAACGAUAAUGUAAGUGUAACCAUUAUCUACUCGUGGAGGAAUAAUGAUGAAUCAUGAGUGUUUAUAUAUUCUUUCACAUUUUUCAUACUUGUAUAUAUGUCUUCUUAGUUCUUGCCUAUACAAAUACUAUACUAGUUUAUUUUAUUUUUUGGACAACAUGUUAAGUAAAAUUUGUCCUAGUAAUUAUAAUAAGGAACUCUCAUAAUAAAAAUAAAUAAUGACUAAAACUUUUCAAAAUAAUAAUACAAAACUAUAUUUUUAAUAUAGAAUAUAUUGUAUAUAUUAAUAUGGCUAUUGUAUAGUUAUCGUGUUGACCCGAAACCCGUUAUUUUCGUGUCGUUUUCAUAUCAUGUCAUUGUGUCGUGCUACAAAUUGCCGGGUCUACUUUGACCCUAGCAACAAGUCUUCAUUAGUGAAGUUGAUUACAUCAUAGGUUGCACAACACGUCGCAUAUUCAUAUGGCCGAAGCUUCAAGCCUUCGUCCUUGCUUACUUGCACUUGUGGUUGUCAGGACUUGCCAAGACUGCUACUAGUGCAUUUCACAUCUCCUUGGGCAAUCAUAAUGCUUCUUCGAUGCUAUAGUGUGACGGUAGGCUUUCUUUGGGUGUGAGGGUCUUCUCUUCCUCGAUAACAAUAGAUUUGCCUUUUGAAGGCUAUUCUAUCUUUAUUUCAACCAUGUGACAGGCAACAGUAGUACACUGUUGGAAGAAAUCCUUCGGGAAGUACUCGUGCAAAGAGAUAGGAAUACGUGGCUCUUGCUCCAUAGGUUCCCCAGCGUAUGUUGGCUUGGCAACUCUUAGGCUCCUUUUAGGCUUCCUAUUGUUGCGACAGCGGUGCUUUCUCCCUUGUUCCACCUUUGGCCGUGUGGCUUAUGGUCUUGGCUUCCUUGUCUUUUUGUAAGUAACCAGUGUCCACCAUUAUUCAUCAUUGGUAGGUGCAUUUUGGUCGCUUGCCCCCAGCAAUGGUUGCGUAGAAGGUGCCGUGUAGCUUGAACAUGGACAUGAGUGGUCAUGCGUCACUUGGAGAGGCACAUGAUCGAAUAAUCCAAACACGAUCGUAGUAGUAUGUGUUGCGGCUGUGUCUUCAAGGUCAAGCUCGAUUUUCCCUUGUUGUGCCAACUUCAUGAUGAGCUCUUUCAGGACGAAGCAUUUGCCAAUAGGAUGGCUCACGAUACAAUGGUACUUGCAAUACAUAGGGUCGUUAACACGAUUCAUCUCUUCAAGGCGCUUACAUUCCAAAAGCUCAAUCACCUUCUUUUCCAGCAAGUCGUCUAACAUUGUAGCCACGUUAGAGUCAGGAAAAGGGGUAUGCCUUCUGCUCUAGUUCCUUCAAGUUGUUUUUGUACCUGUCUUGGGUGCAAGAAUGCUCACUUCUCUUUAUCUCCUUCGCUUUGUUCUUAGAUGAGAUCUUGACGGGCGUAGAAGAGGUCAUGAUGAAGGUAGUAUUGACAGAAAAUGCUUCAUUGGCAGGCUUCUUCCCAGUCUUGUCUACCUUUGGGGCGAACACCUUAUCCUUCUUGAAGUCGGUGAUCGACUCCUUCUUCCCAUGAUUGGCGAUACUCAGCUCCAUGUCAUGGAAACAAGUUGCCAGCUCCUCAAAUGUUCUCGGUUUUAUGCCUUGGAGGAUGUAAUGUAACCCCCAAUGCAUGCCUUAAACACACAUCUUAAUGGCAGAGGUUUCAGAAACCCGAUCCUUGCAAUCCAGACUUAAUGAAUGUCAUCUAUUGAUGUAGUCAACGACAAAUUCAUCCUUCCAUUGCUUCGUACUUGUCAGCUCCAGCAUGCUUACGGUAAUACGGGUGCUGUAAAAGCGGUUGAGGAAUUCCCUUUCAAGUUGAUCCCAGCUAUUGACGGACUUGGGCUCGAGGUAGGUGUACCAGUCAAAGACGUUACCUUUUAGUGAGCUCACGAACUGCUUGACGAUGUAGUCUUCCUCCUUCCCAACAUUGUUGUAGGUUUCAAUGGAAAUAUGUUGUUUAGGAUUGCCCUUUCCAUCGAAUUGCAUGAAUUUAGGUGGCUGAUAACCCCUUCGCAUCCUUAAGGCAUCAAUCUUCUUGGAGUAUGUCUUUGAGUAAAGCACGGAAUCAUGUGAGCUUCCUUCGUAUUGUGCCUUGAUGGUGCUUGUGAUCAUCUUUUGCAACUAUUGGAUAGAGAGAUAUCUCAUGAGCGUCGCAGCUCAGUCCACCUCCAACUUCUCCUUAGCUUUCUCCACUAGAGGCUCAUCUUUCUCGUCGGUUCCCUCCUUUAGCGGAUCAACCUUUAGGUCAGCUUUCUUGUCAUGCUGCGCCUCUAGAAGGUUGAUGAGCGUAGCAAUCUGCAAAUCCUCAUCUUCCACAUUCCUUGUUAGCCUUGCAAUUGCUUUGUUCAUUUGGCUAGCUGCUUCUCGAUGGAUGUCACACUAGUAAUCAUAACUUGCAUGGCUACAGGAUACGAGAUGCUGCUUGAGUCAGCAUCAGAAGUCGACGACUCGAAGUACCUCAUCGAGCUUUCUUCCCUUAGCGCUCUUAGCUAGGCCAGGGUGAUCACAUGAUGGUGCCUCGGGUACUCUUGCUCAUUCGACAGAGUCGAUGUAGGGGUGGAAAGCACGACAGAGAAAGCUUUUGCUUUGCUUCGGGUUGUGACGCCCAAAGUGCCACCAUUUGCGACAAUGAUGUUCUUGUUCUUCGCAUUGAUUGCAGGAACAGUUUUAUCCUUUCUUGGUGCCAUGUGUGCUUCUUGCAGAUUUGAAGACAGAGAUGAAAGGUAGAGAUGUCCCACUGGGCAUGCCAAAUUUGUAAACACGAAAUUUCUGUAUCGAAUGAAACGAGAACACAUGUACAAAGUAUAUUUGUAUUGAUUUGAAUUUGUAGGUUACAAUCUCUGUUUACAAUUUUCCUCUGAUUAAGUUUUCAAAUUUGAUGUAGAUGCGUAGGUUGUUGAUCCAAUGGUCGCGAUGACUUGAUCUCGAACGAAUAAUUGAACGAUUGCUUUAAGUUUUGAGCUUGAAACAACGCUUGGAUGAUCUUCACCUCAGGUUUAAGGUUGUGGCAAGGGUAGUGUUGAUGUAGGAUUUCGUUGAUUCAAGGGUCUUGGCGACCUAAUCUUGAAACAAAUGUCGUUACAAGUUUUGAGCUUGCAACAAAGUCUUGAUCGAAUCAGCACAAGUACUUGUUGAUUCUUCAAUGAGUACUUCGGCUUUGGUCGACAGAAAGCUUCGGCUUUUGGUUGUGCGUUCUUCGAAGAGAGCUUUGGUAGCGUAUUAGUCUUCAAAGAUUUGUGCAGAGGUUCUUCUCAAUAUGUAAUUUUCGACCCUUCAAUGUAGAAAUUGUCGACCCUUAUUUGUAUCUGGGGACCUUGUAUUUAUAGACUUCUCAAAGCUUGCCUUUGGAUGGAUUUGGCUUUGAUUUGUGUCUUGAUUCGUCCAUGGGAGAAUUUAGGCAUGUUUUGUGUCUUAAUUUCAGCCACUUUCCCAUACCUUGGCCAAAUUAUAGGGCUUUCUUGCCUAUUUUGUGAACAACCUUCAAUUCUUGCUUGUUUUGUGAAGAUGCUUUAGUUUCCUUUCCGGUUUUGAGAGCAAUUUGGGCCCCUUGCCAAUUUUAAGGAGAUUUCUUCCUUUUGGCCGAAUUUUGGGGAAGUUUUAAGCUUCCUUUGCUUGAUUUGUGCCACAUGUCAUUGAUGACUUGUCCAUUUGUGAUGAGUCAUAUGCCACGUGAAGCUUUGUGAUGCAUCAUUUGCAUGCAACGAAAUUUACAUAUCUACAAGAGCCUAGGCGACAGGGGGCGGAGGCACUCUAAGGCCACCAUAGGCCAAGGCCUACCCUCAUUAAGGAUCCCCCAACUAACCUUUCUAAAUAAUUAUGUAUUAUAUUUGGAUAAACUUAAUAUUAUACUUCUUUUAGUUUACACAAAACUCUUAAUUGCUAUUCACUAAUAGUUAAAAUAAGAAGUCUCUUUUUCUUUUCAAUCCCAACAACACUCGUCCUAAAAAUAAAUUUACAAUCUUAUUUUAUAAACAAAUCAAUAGCUCUUAAAAUUAAAAUCUAAAGUCUAGUUUAGUUUUAUCAAAAAAAAAAUAUUCUUUUACAUUGCCAACUGAAGAAUAAUAAACUUUGAGUUUCUCCUUCUCCGCUUCUUGAAAUUUUAUAUAUUUUAUCUUUGCUCUCUUUAACUUUUUACUAAAUUUUUAAAAUUUCAUAUAUUUUGUUCACCAAAUUCCCAAUCCAUAAUUCUCAUUUUUUGUUCAGAAAUUCCCAAUCUAUUCUAUAUUGACUUGGAGUGAUGCUAUAGAUAGCUUCUACUUGAGCCAUAUUUUGUGACCACAUGAUUGUAUAGUACUUAAUGGUUGGACUACUUUAAAUCACCAAAGAAGGAAUCCAAUCAUCAACGGGGUCACAUUAUGUGGUUUCUAAAAUAUGGUCUAAAAACAUAGUAUCCCUAGCAUUUUUCAUUGACUUGAGAAUGGAAGGUUAACUUCGACAUAGAAAAAACAUUUAGAGCCUAAAAAAUAAUUAGCUCACAACUCCAAGCAUGUAUUAUUUAAUUUUUUUCACAUUUAUGUGAGGCCCCUCCUCACCUAAAAUCCUGGCUCCGCCACUGCUAGGCGAAGUUGGGCGGCAAUUUUUAGAACAGUGAGAAGAGAGACGAAUUGUGUGGAAAUCAUUGUAUUUACAUUUACACGAGUGAAAUGAAAGAAAAAGUAAAUGUGAAAGCCGAAAGGUUUGAAGUUUGGAGCCGACAAAACAAGUUGAGUCGGCUAUGAAACGAACACAGACAGAAGCAGUAGACCAAGAAGUCAAACAGUUGAUCCAUAUUUGGCAAUUGGCGUGGAGACUGAAACUCAAGUCAACGCCAGCCGAAUAUCAUUCUUCUUUCGAGUCCAAAAAAAAUUGCGACCCACUUACCAGUCAUCUCACAACUCAUACGAGGAGUGGGAAGUUUACUCUUUUUGUCCUCUUUUCUUUUGUUUUUUUUCCAAUGACUUCGAGUACACCUUGGGUAACUGUGUUUAUAUUUUUUAAAUGCAAAACUAUUCAUAUGCUUGACAUUUGUUAGAAGCAUAAAUUGGUUUUUAUUCUUGAUCUUUGAAUUUGAUAUAAUGUGGAGUAUUGAUUUUGAAAGCUAAUUCGACGAUAAUUUUCAUCAAAAUUGAGCAUGUAACACAUGCAUAUUUAAAAAAUUGCACCAAUUAUUUUUUAGAAGAAGAUUACGUGUGUUUCACGCACAUAAUUUUUUGACGGAAAUUCUUAAUAAGAUGGAUCAUAUCUAAUAAGACUUUGCUCCAUGUUUGAAAUCAAUGUGCAAGGAAUAUUAAUGCACACCCAAUAUUUAAUUAGGACUUUUGAUAGAUGAUGUUUUGGACAUGGCAUAUACCAUUAUUGGAGGUAUUCUGUGGUGGCGGUUCUUGCCUAAGAUAUGAAUCCAUUUGUUCAAGUUGAACACAAACCAAAAAGAAAAUUGAGAAAAAUAUUAGUGAAACGCAAAGAUGAUAUAAAACUAUUACUUUUGACUUUUGAAUGGAUCCAUUAAUUUGGACAUGGCACCAUGGACUUUAGAUAAUAUUUAAUAUGACAACUACUCUCUUAAAGUUUUCAUUUUAAGAACCUAUGAUGUACUUUUUUUAUAUGAGCUUUGGAUUAAAUAAUUUUUGUUAUUAAGAGACAAAAUACUAAUUGAUAGAACAAAUAAGCAAAAUAAAUAAGAAGAGAAGAAGGUUUUACGUCACGUCGGAUCUCUUCCACCUGCAAAACCUAGUCUUCUCAUGAACUAUCUAAAAUUAGCAAAUCCAAUUGCAAAAAACCCUAAUAACUUUACACAUCCAAUUUCCUCCAAUCUUUUAUUUAAGUUGAUAACUUAAUCUACUAUAAGAUUAAUUUGAUGGCUCAUAUGAACAAGGACCUUAUAAAUCCUUAAAGUUAGGACCUUAGUAGUCCUUAAAGUUAGGACCUUAGUAGAGCAGUUAUAUUAAUAUGAUAUAGGAACUGAACGUCUUAACAAUGAUGAUUAACGUAAUUGCACUGCAUCGUUCAUUAUCCUAAAUUUAAUAACAUAAUUAUUUUUUAUUUGAAUAUAUAAAACUAACACACUUAUUAAUCACACGCCUAAUAAAGUAGUAGGCCAUAUAAUUUGAUGCAAGAUUCACCUAUACUGGAGAAUAUUAUAACAACAAAUGCAUCAACUUUAUGUUUUUAAAUAAUAUUACUCUGAAUUGGUAGUGACAAACGUGUGAGACCCUUAUUAUCAAUAACCACACAUUUCAAAUCGAUGCUAAAACAAGCAAUUUUAAAACAAGCAAAAGUUACCAUGUACAUGCAUAGAUGAUAGAUCUAUAUAUAUAUAUAUAUAUAUAUAUAGUGGAACAUAAAACCAUGAACGUAUCUGUCAAGGUUUAGCUGUCUAAAUUUUGCCCUAAUAUGGGCUAUGUAAUGUUUAUCAUAUUAUGUUCUACGCCAGGUGUGUAUACAAACCCUCACUCUCUCUUAGUUAAGUUAGCAAGCUUGCUGGGUUAAUUAAAUUCAUUCUCACACAUCAUGGAAUUUGGCGCACACAUGCAUGAAAAUUUUAUCUAGCUUCUUGUCAAAUUAGUUGUCAUCAAAUACAAACUGAAGUGAACUUAAUUUGAUAUGAGAAAGAAGUUGUUUUAGACCAGAAGAAAUUAAACAAAACCAAAAAAGGGAAAGAAAAACACACAUGCAUCAAAAUUAUAUUAACCUUUUACUCUCCUUAAUCGAUCGUUCAAUCUGAUCUCCUACCGUUUCCAUAGCUAUUAAUCUUAUCAUCUUGAGUGACUGGUGUCAAAGUCUUUCCUAUACUUAUGAGGAAGGCCCGAACUUGAACUCGAAAAAGAAGGACCGAACUUCAUCGAAAAGCUUGGGAGCUCUGCCGCUUGUUGAGAUGGCAUGGAGGACGACGACAACAAGGAUGUAGAAGAUGUGACAUUAUUAUAUUGUGUACAAUCGAAAACACUGGAAGAUGUUGGUCGAGAAAUAUUAGGCUGAGGAGGAUUAAUGUUCAAGCUGUCUUGUUGAUCAGUAGUUAUUAAUGUGAGGCAACCUGACUCAGAGCUCCCUUGAACUCUCUCGGGGAAGUUUAGCUUAGCUUUGCUUCCCUUGAACUUGAGUGCUGCUUUAUCAUAAGCUAGUGCUGCAGCCUCAGCUGUGUCAAAAGUGCCCAGCCACACUCGGGCUGCCUUCACCGGGUCACGAAUCUCAGCAGCCCACUUUCCCCAUGGUCUCCGCCUCACUCCUCUGUAAUGUUGUCUCCUCAAAUUUCCUUCACACAAACAUAUAAAUUAAUUUCUCAAAAAUAUCAAACCUGAAAAAGAAUCAUUUCAUACAUAGGUGGAGACGGAACCUAAGUUUGAGUAAUGCUAGAAGGAUCGUGCUAUUUGAGCAUAGUCAAUACUCGCUUCUUCUUAUGUUCAAUUCUUAUCCAUGGUGCUCAAUUGUUAUUUGACACGUUAUAACAUUUCACUUUUUGUUUGAAAAUAUGGUCCCUCUAACAUUAGCUCAGAACUUGUACUUUACUAACUAAGACAGGUUUUUAUGAAGAAAAAAAAAGGUUCAUUAGAUAUUGAUCCUGAAAAAUCAUGAUUUCUAAAUAUAAACCCACAUAUAAUUAAACAUCCAACAAAAACCCAAAAGUCAAAUAAACUGCCACAUAAGAAUAUAAGUAACCUACUGAUACAAAUUAUUUACAAUUUUUGCCACAACCCACACUUGAAAAUUAGCUUCAAUCAAGGGCCUUAAAAUCUAAUUAAUCAUCCUGAUGUUUUUUCUAUUUAUUUAUUUUUAAUUUCUACAACAAUCUAGUGCAUUACUUUAAAUAAUGACUACAUUAUUAUUCGGUGUAAUUAUUCUUCUUAUAUAAUAGUUAAACGUCCCUACUUUACCUAUAUAAAUAAUAUUGCCCUAUAGUCUGUAAUUUACCUACAAUAUAUAAACAACAUAUUCUCAUAUUUCUUUUGGCAAUUUACCUAUGAUAUAUGCAAAUAAUAUUCUCAUGUUUUGUUGGCAUUUUUCCUAAAUUAUGCAAGUACGUAAAUUUCAAUAAUAGUAGGUAAAUUAUGCACACGUAAUUGACCUAAAUUUUUUAUGUGAAUCAAAUAUCUAGAUUGUAUAUGCAAAUAAUUAACCUAUAGUUAGUUCUUUUCUUUUUCUCUGUCCUAAAAUUAAUUUACCUACUAGUUUUUAUCUCCUUUAAUUUAUAUAUUUUUACUUUGACAACAAUUUUUUUUUAUAUAUUUUAAAGUACAAUGAUUUACCUAUAUAUAAUAUGGACACGUUGUAAUGGUAAAUUGGAAUUCGAGAGCCAAACUAACCAACAAAUCCCUACAUUUAUAUGCAAAUAUUUUUUUUUGUAAAAUCAUUAAUUCUCCCUUACAAUUUGCAUAGAAUUAAUUGUGUACAUUAAACAUUCAAUAAGGGUGUUUUAAGCAUCCGAAAAAUUUUAAAUGGGUAAAGUCAAACAUAAUUAAUGAAUUUGCUUAUGUGGAGUCUAGUCAAUGAGUUUUAUUUGAGCAAAAAAUUUACUUCGGGUUUUAUGUGGAGAAAAUUGAGUUUCCAUGGGCUAAAGUCUUAUUUUCAGAAGAAAAAAAAAAUUGACGACCAAGAUGAUUAUCACAAAAUUAAUAUUGGGUCACGAAAUCCUAAUGUACACCACUUGGGUAUUAUCUCUUCUAAUAUAUGUAUAAAGUUCAAAUCAGGAAAAAAUUAAUAAAUAAGUUGAAGCAUUAUACUAGAGAAAGGAAUGCUAGAGUGAUAAUCUAUAACUAUAUAAAAUAAAGGAGUAAUUAGGUUUUCAUCCUUAUUUUUACUACUCUAUUGAUUAAAACCUUAUUACUUUUCAAUUUUUUAUCAAGGUCCUUUGUAUUAAUAAUAUCAUUAAUUAUUUCAAUAAUAAAAUAUUUUUUAUUUCUAAAUAUAUUCAUUUAAUAUUAAAAAUGUUACAAUUAGUAUAUUUAUACUUAUGGCUAAAUUUUUUAUCAUAUAUUUUUAUUUUUAGUUUGUACCCAUUUUUAAUUUGCAACCCUUUUUUAAUUUGUACCAAUUUUCCUUUCAGUUUUAAUUUGUACCCAUAUAUUAAAUUCUUUUUGUGCCCAUAUUUUUUAAAGUUUUAUUUGUAUUGUACCCAUAUUUUUUUAUUUAUUUGUACCCAUUUUUAUUUUUUCUAAAUGUACCCAUUUUGAAGAAUGUACCCAUGUUUUGAUACAAUAAUUUUUUGGUUAUUUUUAUGAAUGUACCCAUGUUUACACACACACACACACAAUAGUAUAUUUAUAUUUUAAUAUUUUUAAUCCCACAAAUUAUGGUUUUUUAUUUAAAAUCUCAUUACUAUAAACAACUAUAAAUUUUAAUUUUUAAUUUAAAAAAUAUAGUAACGUACAUAGAAAUAAAUUAUCAAUUAAUUUCAGGGACUUGGAUCAAAAAUUGAAAACCAAUAAGGUUUUAGUCAAAGAUUGUUCAUAACUAGGGACCGCAUCCAAAGUCUCCCUAAAAUAAAUAUUUAUGCACAACCUCUUCAUCCAAUCUCAAUGCCAGAAAUAAAGAGUGAGCAGUAGGAGAAAAUAGGGACGCCACAAUCCACAUAACUAAAAGGUGGAAGAAAACCAUAUGAUUAGUUAUACAGAAGCUCCCUAAAUCCCUUAUGAAGAAGAUCAAGUAGUUCUGCUGCAAAUAUACCAAAAAGUUAUUUUUGUUACAGAGAACCAAAAAGAAGAUUAAUUCAUUGUUGAUAAUAUAUAAAAUAUAAUACCUUGAUCUUGAAGUACUGGUUGUGAUUGAGUCUCUGUAGGGCUGGACUGUGAGGUUAUUAAUGGAUUUAUUCCUUGCACUUGAUCAAUUGGGUUAUUAAUUUGGUCACUAUUUUUUCCAAUCACAUGAGCUAGAGCUGAAACCAUGGCAAAAGUGUCUUGCUGAGAUCGAGUCGAGUAAACAGGAAAGAUUUGAUCCUCCUCUUUUUCCUCUGAUUCAACCGAAGCCAGCGGCCUCUUCCCAUGUUUUCGGUCCAUUUUAUGAACCUAGAUAUUAAUAUUCUGACGUUAUAUAUAAUAUAUAUAUAUAUAUAUAUAUGAGUCAGAAUCGAGAGGGACACCAACAACUGAUUCAAAUUCGUUCUAGCUUUACGACGUACAUUAAAAGUAGACAGUAGAUUAAGGAAAGAAAUGAAAGAGAUGAGAGGAGAAAAUGAGAGGAGGAGGAAGAUAGGUGGGAGAUAGGGUUUGCUACAGAAACAUCUAGACUUUAUACAUAUUUCGUUAUCGUGGUGUGAACGUUUGAAGAAUCCAUUAUUCCUCCAACAUUAUUGAUUCCAUAUAUAUGUAUAUUUGAAUUUAGUUGAGUUCAAUAUUUAUUGUUCUUUAUUCCUUUACACCGCAUUCCCAUACAAAUAUGCAAAUUUGUCAAGUUGGACGUUGGAAGUGAAACCCUUACUCAAAUGUGAUGCUAGUUAUUAGGUCUGAUUUUCGUAUGGAUCCGAUUGGAAAUAAAGUUUUCAAUUUCUGUUUCAAAAUUUUGAAAUUGGAACGGAUCUGAUCGAAUCACAAUCUCAAAUUCAGAAUUUUCAGAAUCCGAGUAAUCUCAAAAAUUUCGGAACAUAAUUUAGAAAUUCAUAUAAUAAAUGUUUUUGAAAAUUCUCAAACUUUUUCGCACAUGCAAUUUAUUGUUCAUUCUUAAUAUUUGGUAUAUGCUUACGUAUAAAUUCAAUUUUUUUGGUAUAUAUACUAGUAUGUUUAUUCUUUUUAGGGUAAAUUACAUUUUGCAUCCUCAAGUUUGGAUCACAUAACAAACUCAUACCUCAUCUUUUCAACAUUGCAAUAUCAUACAUCCAAUUGCGAAUUCGUUGCAAUGUCAUACAUUUACUAGUCAAUCGGUUAAUUUGACCAUUAAAUGAUAAUGUGUGAAUUAUGGAUCCCACAUUUUUGGGGGCUAGAAAUAUAGUGUAGAGGAAAUUUCCAGUUUCUAACAACAACGGCCUACUAAUCAGAGGUGAAGAAAGCAGAUGUGAGGAAGGCAGAAGCUUCACCCAUGAAACGCGCGGGCAGAUAGAAAUGCAUUUCAAUUUUCAUUCCAAUUUUCCAAAAUAUAUUGAAUUUGAAAUUUUGGAGUCCAAAUUCGGAAGUUUUACUUUCAAAAUCGAAAACACUAUUCCAACUUACACCACUAUGCUAGUCAUUCAACUGUAAUAACCUUAAUCCUAAUCUCCUAAUCUAACCAACAUAUAUAUGGGAUGGGAAGGACAUGAGUUUAAAAAUUACUAAGCUUAGUUUGCUUAACAACUCCGAGUUUGGAUAACAAUCAAACAAGAGUUACGUACUGUCUUUUUCAACAUGUUUGUUGAAAUGAAAACUGAAAUUAUACUAAUUAGGAAUAUAUCAUGAUGAUUAUAAGUUUUAUAUAAAAAUACUUUUUUUUUAACAAACGGUAUUAUCUACACUGAGAGGGAGGGAGUUGAGCUGAGCCUCACAAUAGGCUAGCAAUAAUAUGGUUCAAAUUCGCCUUUGGCAAGAAUCAAACCUAAGACCUCUCAUUUACAAGUGAGGAGGAAAUAUCACUAGACCGUAAUACUAAGGGCUAGUUUGGUAUUGCUGUGCUUUGAAAAAAAAGUUGCUGUGAGAAUAAGCGGCUGUGCUGUGAGAAUAAGCGGCUGUGAAAUAAAUCAGCAGAGUGUUUGGUAAACUUUUUUGUAAAAGUGCUUUUGGAAAAAAAAAACAGCUUGAUAGUGGGUCUUUUCCUUAAAGGAGCAUUGUAGCUCCGUGUGCUUUGAAAAAAAAGCCAGUUUUCCAAAGUACAAAUAGCAGCUUCAGCUUUUUCCUUUGAUUUCAGCUUAUUCUCACAGCAACUUCCAAAAUAAGCCAUUUUUUUUUAGUUUACCAAACACCUAAAACCCUCACAGCUUUUUUUCAUGGGUGCUUUUUUUUUAAGCACUCACUACCAAACACCUAAGUGGCUAUAAAAUAAAAAAUAAAAAAAAAUAAAAAAACUUUAAAAUUAAGCUUAACUUAAGGGAAAAAAAAAACAAAAAAAAGGCUCACCUAGCCACUUGGCUGACUUUAAUUGAUCUUUUAGGCCAUUUUCAGUCAUUAAGGCUAAAUGUAGUUUGGGGCUACAUUUAAGCCAUCUAAUAUAUUAUUGUUUUAUUAUGCAACUUGAACUAUACUUUUAUCAUCUCUACCUCACACCACUACCACCACCAGAUCUCACACAAUCAAACACCACCACCACCACCAGAUCUCACACAAUCAGACACCACCACUACCCCCAAGUCUCACCCAACUCAACACUACGAUGACACCAAACACUACCACUAAAUUACGUCGUCCAACCCUUCCCUGAUCAUCUUUAUUAACUACAUUACAAAAGAUGAAGAAUUGAUAAAGAUGAAGAGAAAGAAUUGGUUGUAUUGAUUGAUUAGAGAAAAUGUAUACAAAUGAACUUAAGGAAAUGAUAGCUAUACAAUCCCUUAUAUAGCUAUAUAACCCAAUUACAAUAAUACCCUUUUAACUAUAUUUCUGUUAUAUCAGUUAUUACUCCCCCCUCAAACUAAACUUGGUGUAGCCAAGUGAAGUUUGAACUAGUUAGCUCUGAAACUAAUCUAGAACUGCAAGACCAAGAUGUUUGCAAAGCUUCAAGAACACUGCAGAAAACCCGAAACAAAUGAAUACCACCGGGUGCCAAUUACCACCUCUCCCCUCGAAAAUUGCACCACAAGAAAGCUCUUCUUCUCUCCACACCCACGUUCUUCUUCUUCAUCAAUCACUCAUGCAACUUCUCUUGUAUAAUGCAAGAAACUAUACUUCGAUCCACCGAUCUUUGAAGUUGAGUGAUAUAACAGCUGUUGGGAAUAACAAUCUUAUCAUGGGAUCUUAUCACAUUGCCCACAAUUGCAAGAUCAGAAACAACAUCAUUUUUGCAAAUAAUACAUUGCUGGCAGGUCAUGUUGUGGUGGAAGAUUAUGCUCACACUGCAGGGGCUAUCGUCGUUCAUCAAUUCUGCCAUGUUGGCUCUUUCUCAUUUAUUGGUGGUGGCUCUGUGAUCGCACAAGAAAGCUUAUGUUGCUGCUGAAAAUGCUCUGCACAGUACAGUUGCUAAUCCUAAUUUGUUGAAGUCUUUGUCAUCUACAGAGGAAUUGGAGCAAAAAAUAUCUUGAACUAACUAAAACUUUACAGAGACUAGCACCAAAUCAACCAAGGAGAAUGACACUCCAAGAAACCAAAUCAACCAAGGAGAUUGACACUCCUGAUAGCUUCUUAUAUCUUCCCAGAUACUAACACCAAUCUUAACCAAGGAGAAUGACACUCCAAGAAAUCAAAUCAACUAAGGAGAUUGACACUCUUGAUAACUUCCUAAAUCUUCCCAAAUACUAACACCAAAAUUAACUAAGGAGAAUGACACUCCUGAGAUCUUCCUAAAUCUUCCCAGAGACUAACACCAAACAUUAACCAAGGAGAUUGACACUCCUGAGACCCAGAAACAAUAUACCCAAAAACAACUCCUUCAAUCACCAAACCCCUCCAGAUCACAGAUACAGAAUCGCAAAAAUUCGCAACUCCAUAAAUUUCCAGAGGAACAGCAGAAAAAAUCACCUACAUUCCCACUUUAUCUUCAUAACUUUCUUCAACUUCCAACAUUUCUUGCAAUCAGCCUUAAUCAUAUACUCAAAAGCCCGAAACACACCAACACUGCAUAAAAUUUCAUUGACCCAAAAAUACAGAAAUCUUAUGUGCAACAACCUGAUUCCAACAGCCAGAAAAUAUCACAGCAAGAGCACCAAUUCAAGAACAGCAACCACCAAUCCAAGAACUUUAAGAACCAUACCCAAAUCUAGUGCACAUUCAGUGAAACAUUAUGAAAGGAAGAAACAGAGAACCAUACCAAAAACUGCGAUCUUGCCAAUGAAAGUGGUCAUCAACAUACAAUUGCAUAUAGUAUUGGAAUCGGUGAAGCCGCCAUAACAUAAUGCUUCGAGAUCCAGCAGUGGUUGAUUCGAAGAAAGCCUCCAUAUCAGCUUAGACCAACCCUCUUUCGCAGUUGGAAAAACUCCAAAAAUAAGAAGGUCGGCGGCGACGAUGAGGAAUUGAAAAAAAAGGGCAGCAGCUUUGGAGCGAGGACGAUGAGAUUACGAUCCUGAAGGGCAUUAUAGAGUUCGAAAGCAAGAAAGGUGUGGCAGCGAAUUCGAAUGUGGCCCCAUUCCUCGAGUUCAUCAAGAAGGAUUUGUAGGUCGAUUUGAGCACGGACCAAGUGGUUGAGAAAUUGACUAAUAAGAUCAGGAGGUUGAAGCCCAAUUUGCUCGAGCUCGAAGCCCCAGUCAAAAUUUGCGGUGAAACCCAGAUGAAAAUUUGAGGUUCUUGAUUCCUGUUCUUCAUGGAAAUGCUUAGAUCUUUUCAUAGCAGAAAAAUCCCAAAACUAAACAUAAAACCCUCGGAAGAAAAAUCCAGAGACAAAAAAAACAAUAAGAACUACGAAUACGGAAGCAUAAACGAUCAAAUACGCAGAAACGAAAGAAAGAUAGAAGAGGAAUUGACCACCAAGAUCCAUGGCGUGAGCCUUGGUGGCUAUGAUACCAUAUUAACUACAUUGCAAAAGAUGAAGAAUUGAUACAAGGGAAGAGAAAGAAUUGGUUGUAUUGAUUGAUUAGAAAAAAUGUAUACAAAUGAACUUAAGGAAAUGAUAGCUAUACAAUCCCUUAUAUAGCUAUAUAACCCAAUUACAAUAAUACCCUUUUAACUAUAUUUCUGUUAUAUCAGUUAUUAGUCUUUAGACGAGAGAGAAUAGAGAAGAGAGAAGAUAAGGAGAAUCAAAUUGAGAAGAAAGUGACGAUAAUAAAAGCAAGUGGAGCCCACAAAAAAAUGUAGCCCUGGGCUACUAAGCUUGCUAUGUUUGGCAAGCGUGAUGGCCAUUUGGCCCAAUGAUAAAGGAUUUAAUCCGAUGUUGACUAUGAUUUAGCUCUUUUAUUGGAUAUAGAUUUAGAGCGAUUUCGGGCUAAAUGAAUGGCCUUAGGUUUGAAAUCCUUCUUCAUUACCAAGUUAGUUUUUUUCUUUCAGAAGUAAAAGGUUUUCGAAUGCUUUUUUUUUUUUUGAAAUAUAAAUAAUAUUAAGGACAUACAUGUGCCUGUAAAGUUUUUUUGCUUUCUGACUUCUCGCUUUUACUAAUUCUAGCUUUUGAUGCUACUACUAAACAAGCCUUAACAGAAUUAAUCAUUCUCACAAUACAACAGAAAAAUUUUGUUUUAAAAGCACAACAAAAUCAAAGCAACCCUAACACAUAACAUCAUGUAGCACCCAAAUACAAUUCAUAAUCCAUUAUAAUAUUUAAAGCAUUUUAGUAUUUUCUCUUGCUUUAAAUAAUGUUUGUCAUUUUCCAGUUUGUCAAACACUCGAUUCUAGUGAGUAAGUUUAUUAUUUGUGGAUAUUCUCAACUUCAACCGGAAUUUGAUUUUUCAUGAGAUAUUGGCCCUAGCUAUCAAUAAUUAAUGUCCUUAAGUUGACAUAUUCUAAACUUGACCAGAAAGAGAAGUAAUUUGCUUUAGCCUACACGAAAGAGAUCAAAGAGUAUUAUGCUCCUUAUUAGUUUCCUAGUGGUGACAUCGACAGGAUCAGCUCGACCUCGAACUCAAACACCCUUCCAGCCUAGCGUCACAAGAUGAAUCUGUUUGCUAUUUGGUGUUUCUAUUUCAUGUAAGUCUUUCUUUUUCUGACAAUAACAGACUCAACUAGAACUCGAAAACCUUCCAAUCUGGUGUGGAAAUUUGCUUCAUUAUAAAUUUGGCGUCCUUGUUUAACUCCAAUAUGGGAGAUGUAAAUUUGUAUCUCAUUCAUUUUCGCUCUUGAUUUACGUAAUAGCUUUCUUAUUUUCUCUUCAACUUGCAGGGCCCACCUUCUAAAGAUUCAAAUAUAGAUAUCAAUUUACAUGUUCCCGUCAAGAUGAAUAUUUGCAUCCCUUAAAAGUUGCUCAUUUGAGAGCUUUCAGGCUAAUAAGAAAUGCAAAAUGCUCAUUAAAAGUCAUUUGAAUAUGCUCCCCGAGCAUAAUAUAUACAUAUGAAAGUAUCUUGGUUCUUUCAUUUAUGUAAACGGAUAUAUAACAAUAAAUAUUACUGUGUCUAUUUAUUUACCUUUUGGAUAAUGAUCGUGUUCCUCUAUGGAGGACUUACUUGUCCUUCCAUUUGCGAUUAACGAACAGUUACCAUCCGAACAUCAUAAAUGUAAACAUUCACUCUCUUUAUCAAUAGUUAAAGAUUAUAUAUGCAAAAAAUUCAUUCGAUUUGGAGAUCGUUUAGUUAUACAUACAUGUUAAACUAAUCAACAGUUUUAGUAACAAUUAGCAUCUUCAUGAUAAACCGUCCAUUGGUUUUAUGCAUAUGAAUGAUGAAAAGAUCUCCAAAUUGAAUAAUUUUGUGAUAAUGUGUGUGUCCCUCCCCCCACUUACAAUUAACAUUACCGUCCGAACAUAUGGAGACUAAAUUUACAGACAAAAUUUUGUAAACUAAAUGACAUAGAAGUUGAUGAUUGGAUUAUUACUUCAGCCUUGAUAAAUGUGUUCAUUUCUAUUGGUGACACGUCAUUUAGUUUGUAAAUUUUGUCUACAAAUUUAGUCUCCCUAGCAUUACUCUUCUCUUUAUCAUCAUCUAAAGAUCACAUAUAUGAAGAAGAAAAAAUAUCAUACAAUUUAGAGAUCAUUUAGUCAUCCAUACGUGUUAAACCAAUCAACAGUUUUGGUAACAAGUAGCGUCCUAUGAUGAACCGUUCAUUUGUUUUAUGCGUAUGAAUGACUAAAUUAAAGAUCUCCAAAUUGAAUAACUUUUUGCAUAUAUGAUAUUUAGGCGAUGAUAAAGAGAAUGAGCAAUUCCACUUAUAAUGUUUGGACGAUAAAAGUUUGUUAAUCGUUAGUGGGCAAACAAAUAAUUCCCUCUACGGAGCACACAAGCAUUAUCCUUGUCUUUUGGGCUACUACUAUGGCUUUGUUGGCGUUGAUGCACAACGAUUAGUAAACUCUUUUAAAAUUAUUCAUAACUGUUUUCAAGCUAAAUUAGGUUUUUCUAACUAGAAUAUUAGGGUCUUUUUAUCGAACUGUGUGAUCUCACGAAGUGAGUCUCCAUCAACUCAAAUAUAUAAAUAUAUAUAUAUAUAUACGUAAUUUGAAAUAAUUAAAUCCAUGAUCGCGUAGAUAUAUACAGCUUUCCGAAGCACACCUGAAUCCAUCGGUAUAGAAAUACAAGGAACUCUGUUGCUCUAUCUCACACAUACAAACCCUAAACAGGAACUAUCUCAUAUAUACAAACCCUAACAGGAACUCUACAGUAAACGGCCAAGUCAUGAGAGCCAAAAACACAUUUAUACAGUAAAUCUUGCAGGGGUUUAUGUAAAAGUUAAAACCCUAGCUAGCUAGCCCCUAAAAGUCCAUAUUAUUGACUCUAUAUAACUAAUUAAGCACUAUAAAUAAGGUGCCCUAAUUAAACCGAUAACGGGGUAAGCGGUCAACUCCCAACCUAGUAAACCGCCCAUGGAAUUUUUGUGAAAAAUACUUUUUCCAGAAUAAAGAAAUUAGAAAGCAAAAGAAAACAAAAUAAUAUAAGGAUAAAUAAACAAGCUAUAGUUGAGCUUGAAAACGAGACUAGCUAGAGCCGAAAAGAUUGACAAAUGGAGGCGACAGAGAAUCGUAAAAGAGAAGCCGCCCAAAGGAGCCACACAUAGGUCGUAACUACAAAAAUUAUUUAAUGGAUUGAUCAAAUCAAUUUAGCCGUGAGUGGGACUGAGUCAAUUUAGCCGAUUUUCGAUGGUUCUAUUUAGUAUUUUACUUUUCAGCAAGGGAAACUAUAUAAUAAAGUCACUGCAUGCAAAAUUGCAGAUAUAUAUUUAUACAUAUUAUAUGGGAAUGAUCCCUAGCAUCAUUUUUCUACCCCACAAUUUUUUAAUACGUUUUUGUGAGGGGCACAUAGUAAUAUAUUUCAAAGAAUCAAAUCGUAUAUUUUUUAGGUCUUUCUUCAAAUAUUAUAUUUAUAAAAAAUCACCCAAAAUCAUAUCACAGUUGAAUUAAGGAUUAAAAUUUAUUUAUAGAAUCGUAUUCGUCUAUUUUCUUCAUUACAAAUGAAUUCUUAAUGACUUUGGAUUUAUCUAAUUUUUGUAAGGAUGAUUUAUGAACAACGUUCUAGAUGAUAGAUGGUUUGGAUCAAUAAAAUACAUUAUGGAGUAAACCCCACAAAAACUUGUGCAAAAAAUUAUGUAAAAUAAGUGCUACCAUGCAUAUAUAUAUAUAGUUAAAGAGAGUACUACUUUUGUGUUUUGUUCGUCCAUGGAUUAUGCAUUUUUAGGUAGCUGUAGUACUAAUUAGGGAAAUUUUGAAAUAGAUCCAAUUUUAUAGGCCUACUUUUGAAAUAGGUCUAAUUUUUAGUUACUUUGGACCCAUAUCAAAAUACCCAUACUAAUUAACUGCAACUUCUACUUUUCUGCAUGAACUACUCGCUCGAAGGUAACCACCGAAAGAAGAAACUGAUCAAGGAAAAAAUAGAAGAAAGUGGUCAACAUAUUUUAUCAAUUUCAAUAAAAUAUGAGAUGCAAUGCAUAUCACUUCAAUUCUAUGCGAUUUUAUUACAUAUAUCAUUUUUAUUAAAUAGUAGAAGAUGAUAUUUGACUUUGUGACAUCUUUCAACAUUAGAAAAAGUGUACCUCAAGAUAACUUCUAGAUAGAUACUAUUGUUGCACAUGUUUAACCAUUUUAUUAAUACAUAUAUAUAAUAUUGCGAGGAAAAAUAUUUACCUAGUUGUAAAAUCACGAUUGUACGUAGAAACCAAGAAGUAAUAGAUAAGUGAGUGACCAGUGUGACUCGAGUAGAAAACGACUUAAGCUAGAGGAUGAACAUAAUUGAAAGUUGGAGUUUCUUAGUUUUGAAACAAUUACCUCUUAAAUGUUGAAGGUGAAUACCUUUUAUAUUGUUGAGUAUAUAAAUUAAACAUCUAAAUUGUGUUACGUGUGAUACAUUACAAAUAAUUUGACUGUUUUUUUUCAAUCACUAAAUGUCACUCUUGCUAUAUUUUCUAUAUCAUAUUUGUCUCAUCUCUUUAGUAAACAUGGAAUGUAUUUGUAUUGACGGAUUUUAUCUCAAUUAGAAAAAUAAUACAAACAUAGUAUAAAACUUAUGAUAAAUGUAUUAUUACUCUUUAAUUAACAAGUCAGACGGUUAACGUAGUACUACGGUCUAGUGGUAUUCCUCUUCACAUAUAAGUGAGAGAUCUUGGGUUCGAUUCUCGCCAAAAGUGAAUUUGAACUACAUUAUUGCUAGCCCAUUAUGAGGCUUAACCCACUCCCCACCCCCUUAGACCAUCUCCAAUCCUGACCUAAAACCUAAAAAUAUUUAGCCCAGAAAAUUUAGGUUUUAGCCCAGAAAUAGCUUUUCUACUCCAACCCUUUUGGCCUAAAAUUUUAGCCCCAGAUUAUCAAAAAAUGAAUUAAGGCUAAUUUUUUGUUAAAUUAACUUUUUUUAAAAAAAUAUGUAGACUAUCCUAAAUUAAUUUUAUGAACAUUUUAACCUAAAAAUAUUUAAAUUCCGAUAAAUUUUGAAAAAUCAUUAAAUCAAUACAUGAAAAUCAUGAUAAACCACAUAAACUUAAAAAAAAAUUAUUAUAGCCGUUGGAAAAAAAUAUUUAAAUUCCGAUAAAUUUUAAGAUCAUUCUAGCCAUUGGAUUUAAAUUUGGAUCGUUAGAUUUUUUUUUUUUUACCGUUAGAUUUGAUUAUAUUCGAUUUAAGCCGUUGGAUUCAAUAAAUAUAUAAAUAUAAAACAAAAAAAAAUUGAAUGUGGACCGUUGGAUUAACCAACGGUCCAAUUACCACCACCACCCGAUAAAGAAAAGUAGCUGUUGGCUACAGGACAAGGCCCACUUUUCACUCUCAUCCGUGGGUCCCAACAACUUUUGUGGGCUAAAUUUGUGACCUAUAUUUACCUUCAUUUUAAGUUUUAGGUUUUAGGUUUGGUUUAGGUUUUGGGUUGGAGUGGAUUUGGGGGGGAAAAAGGGGAAAAUUUAGGUUAUAAGCCACCAUUGGAGAUGGUCUUAGUGUAGAUAAUAUCGUCUGUUCAGAAAAAAAAAAUGUAACCUAUAUAAACUAUAUGAUAUUGAGAAGCCAAAAAUAUAAAAAUAGUUAUUUGCUUUGAAUGCUCUAUUUAAUUGUUAGCGAACAUGGUGUUCUUCUUUUUUGUGGAUAUAUGUAGCGGUCUGGACGAUGGUAUCAAGUUUUUGACUCCUUCUAGGUGAACGGUGAAAGCCUAAUCAACUUAACCCCUACCACUUGAUUUACAAGGGGCUUCUAUGGUUCGGGAUAUAUCAUAAGGAAUUAUAAACAAAUACAUAUUAAUUAUUAGAGUUGAUCAUUGACAAAAGAGAGAGAGACUCUUUAAUUAAUUGGUAAAUAUGUUAGGUUACUUUCCACUAUACUCUUCGAGUUCCUUACUUUUAAACCCACCCCUUUUUGGGGGGCCACGGUUUCUUUCUUACCACAUUUAAAUUGCAUGCAACGUGUGCGGUUCACAUAAUAUUAACAGUCCUUUUUCCUUAUCAAUUCCUUCCCUCUUUAAACAAAAACAACUUUUAGUUUAUUGUUUACAUUUUUGUGUACAAAUUAGUGUAAAAAGAAUCAAGAGACUUGGAGAAUGUAUGAGUGGAUGUCCCUGUUGGAAAUGUGCCCUAAGGCCAAUCAUAUGAUGAUACUUUACGGACAUUUCACAUGUUAAACUAAUCUAGUUUAACUAUAAAGGGCAAAGAUUAUUGUUUGAGCCGUCUCAUAUAAAUGUUAUAUGCUUAAACGAUAAAGUCCAAGGAAUAUGUGAUUGGGAGAAUGUAAUCUAAUGAAGUUAGAUUCAUGAGACCAUUCUUUCGUAGACACAUCCUAAAUGUUCCUGAUCAUAGGAUUGCCAAUUGGGCAUUGCUAGUCCGUCAAGAUCGGUACGUGCUAUGUCUUCUCUCAGGGAGAGUGACUAGUCUCGAGUCAUUGGUGUGUGUGACAUCAAGACAAGUACGUAGGUGCUCAGUAGAGAAUGAGUUCACUGAACGCGAUCAACGAAGAGUUCUCAUACUCAUGUCACAUGAGAACUCAUGGUUGGGAUAAUGCAAAUUAGUCCUUUGACAUGAGGUAUCACAUUUGUCUUGUGGUUAAGUACUUGAUCUUUGAUUAUGUCAAAGUCUCCCCCUCGGGGUGUCCACGGCAUCGUUGGGGUUAAGCCACUUAGUCAUGGAGGCAAGUGAAUGCGCAACAAGGGAUCUCUAACCUUCAAACCGUUUGAGGGAGAAUACUCUAUGAUAUGAUUUAGAAUCUCUGGCCAGAGUAUGAAUGAGAUUUGGGAAUGCGUUCCGAAUCACAUUCAAGGAAAUCAUAUACGCACACGAAUCACAUUGGAUAGUAGACAUGAAUAAAUAAACUAUCAAACCAAACAAUGUGGUCAGGAGUAUUAGAUUAGAGAAAGACCGUAUUGCAUUUGUAAUCCCAGACUGAAUAGGUUUUCUCUACCUCUUCUGAUUAGCUUGGGUAACCAUGAUAUGCUGCAAGGUGUCACUCAUGGUUUGUGGAAGCCCUAAACGUGUGUAAUCACUAAAGGGAGAAUUGAAAGUAAGUUUCAAUUCACAAUCGAUGUAAAAUGGUUUUAAUCGCCCACUGCCUCGCUAAAAGGAACCUAAUGGAUCGCACACCGUGUAAGGAGGAGAUUGAAGAAACAAUGGAGAUGAGUAAGAAUGAUUAAAUGGUUUAAUCAUUUAUUUAUGGCAAGGAUUAAUUAAUAUGUUAAUUAAUCAAACGAAUAAGUUCGUUAAAGCCCUCGGGAUAGUUUUGGACCUUAAGGCCCAAUGGGCUUCGAACGUCAAGCCCAUUAACUUAAGUUGUAUGACAACUUAAUGAAUAAUGAUUCACAAAGGCCCAAUUAGUCCAAAAUAUCCUAAUGGCCGGCCAUAUUGUUUAGGGUAGUGAACUUGGACUUAUUUACAAGUUUGCCACUCAAAUGAAUAAAGGUAUAAAUAUGACUUUAUAGCCAAAAUUCAUUAAGGGUUUGUUUUGGAGAAAAUUGGUGAGAACUUGUCUCUCCAUUUCUCUCUAAAGAGGCCGGCCACCUUGGGGGGUGCAUCUUGCAAUCCCACUACUCCAAGGUCACUCAUUUCUUCUCCAAUCUCUCCUUGGUGAAGAGACUUAGAGGUUCUCAAAUUUAGGAACUUGGAGAAACCUAUUCUUCCAUCCAAAUCCAUAGAUUUUAGAUGCAAGGAAUGAAGGCCCUCUCUUUGGGUGAUUAGCCUUUGCUUAUGCAAAGAGGAAUCUACAAAGGUACAAUUUCAACUCACUUUGUUUUGAGUUGAGUUUUGGUUCACCAAUCUACUAGGCUUUGAAUUUCAUGGUUAAUGUUUUGUUUUUAAGUGCAUGCAAGCAUGAUUCCGCCUUUAAUUGUUAAUUGCAUGCUUAUUGAUGUUGCUUAAAUGAACAUGUUUUCACAAAAUAAUCCUUCAGUCCCUUCCUCGUACAUGCAUGGCAUCUUAUGGUCAAAUUUGGCCGUGGCUCUGGUUUCUGCUAUUUUGGUCUCUUUAUGGCACCGGUAAUUCAUGUCUAUGACAUAUCUUUUUGUGUUCUUUCUAGUUAGUCAAUGAAAUUUCUUUUCAAAUAUUUGCAUUGUCGACCAAUUAUUCUGUGUACUUUGGUGCUUUGUUGUUUGAUGUUAUUUGAUCAGUCCGAAUAUUGUAAUUUGACCCACGUUUAUCAAUGAAAUUGUCCCUGAUAUUUUUACCCAAAAAUAAAAGAGAGUAAUGAGCCAUGACAAAGAAAAGAGGUUCAUAGUUCAUAAAUUAAUUUUCAUAAACCCUAAACAUAAUCCUACUCAAGGACCUCUAGAAAUAUAAUUAGCAUGCAUUUGGAACGUGUCACAUAUAAAGGCCGGCGGAGGCAAUUGACUGUGAGAAAUAAUAUGAUAUGAGAUCAAAUAUAUUUAGGCUGACUCACAAUGUGUCACACAUAGCCGAAUUCGAUGAUCAUUAAUUAGUCGACACUAUACCAAUUUGGCUAAAUUCAGAUUUACAAGUAUGUGCUGUAAAUUAAUUCAUGCCUUCAACUGCAAUCUCAUCAUCAUAUAUAUAUGGGUGUAUAUAUAUAAUUGUUAUUCGCGCUCCAAAAUUCUCAUUUUGCACUCCAAACUUUCUCUAUUUAGAAAGAAAAAUACAUUUGUGAAAAGUGUAGAAUGAGAUUUUUUGAGUGUCAAUAACACUUCCCAGAUAUAUAUAUGUGUGUGUGUGUGUGUAUCAGUCUCCAAAAGUAAUUCAUUUUCAUUAGACUAUUAUUUGACAUAUGUAAGCUGCUGAAAAUCUCGUCAAACAAACUAAAAACAAUCAUCAAUUAACAAAACAGUUUGAUCACCUUCUUAAAACUUUGUCGACAAGAGAGAGUCUAAUUCAAGAAACAAAAAUACAUCACAAACAUGAAGGAAAUAGUAUCAUUAUUCUCCCACGAUCUAUCUCUCGGGAAAUUGAACUUGGAUGUGUACGUACCGUCCUCUUGAAGUACUGCUGUCAAGGUCGACGGUUCCUAUUCCUAGGGGGAGGAUUUGAACUCGAAGAAGAAGAAGAACCGAAUGCCGGCAUAGAAUAGUUUAAGGGAUGUUGUUGAUCUUCUUGUUGAUGAGAUGGUAAGAAAGGUAACAAAGAUGAUGAAGUAGUUUCUGAAGUCUGGAAAGCAAAUCUUUCUCUUUCACUAAGAUUAGUUGGUAAAUCAUCAUAAUUUACACCCUCGUUACCACUCAGAAAAUAUGGUGCAUAUUGAUCAUGAGGAGUAGCAACAUUAUUAGGGAAUGCCUGCAGUUGAUAUUGAUGAUCAGGAAGAGGCUGGUGGUGGUCCGUAAUACUUUGAGCCUCAGCUGGCAAGUUUUGUUGAGUACUAGUUGUAGUGAGGUAACCUAAUUCAGUAAUUCUUCCCUGAACUCUUUCGGGAAAGUUGAGCUUAGCUUUGCUUCCUUUAAACCUGAGAGCUGCUUCAUCAUAAGAAAUCGCUGCGGCCUCUGCGGUUUCAAAGGUGCCGAGCCACACUCGAGCUGCCUUCUUGGGGUCACGAAUCUCAGCUGCCCACUUUCCCCAUGGUCGCUGCCUCACUCCUCUAUAGUGCCUUCUCCUCACAUUCCCUUCGCAAAUUAAUAAUGUUAUGUAGUUUCCCAAGUUGAUCUAAACAGUAUCUUAUGUAUAUUGAAACACAAUAAAUGAUAUAUUGAUAUGAUAUUCAGCGCUCAAUUCAUCUAACUACGGGGAUGGUGAUUAAAAAAUGGGUCCUUAUAUAAGGGGUAACAUAUACAUAUACAUAUAUAUAUAUAUAUUAAUUUGCAUAUUGAUAUGUAUUGUUAAUUGUAUAUCAAAUAUAUGCACUUUCUAAUCAUCUUUAUUUGGUUGAAUAGCUACAUAGAAAACAAUUGUAGCUAUGAAACAAAGUAGCAAAGUAGUUGUUAUUACGAUGAGAAAAAGAAUGUAACAAUAAAUACAAUCUACACAAAUGAGCUACAGCAGACAUGCAUUAAAAACAUUAGAGCCAAAAUACAGAGGGCAAACUUCAUUUUUUUUUUUUUUUUUUAAUUUUACUAGUAUUAGGAGAGGGGAGAGAGUUCGAAACUAUUUCAAUAAUUUAGGGAAUGAUGAGUUUUGAACCUGGAAUACAUGGUAGAAACCCAACCCCCGAUUUAAACUGUUAUUACGGCAUCCGUGCUGCUUUUGCAGAUAAAAAUAUCAACCUAAUUAAAAACAUGCAUCAACAAUAUGAAGAUGGAAACGGAACAAUAUAGAGGAUUUCAAUAGGGCACCUGUUGAGAAUAAAAUCACUACACAACUUCAUGUUCAUGCUUACUUUUACAGGUAAAAAACUGUCACAGCGUAUAAACUGAAACUGGAUCGAUGUCAUAUGAAUAUUUAAUUCUACACAGCAGAACUAAAUCAAUUAAAAAUUGGAAAUUAAUAAAUACUCAUGGUCAAUAGUACGACUGAUCAAUAUUAAAC
rnacentral:lncRNA from 1 species